CCUGCGGAGGGAUCAUUACUGAGUUUACGCUCUAUAACCCUUUGUGAACAUACCUAUAACUGUUGCUUCGGCGGGUAGGGUCUCCGCGACCCUCCCGGCCUCCCGCCUCCGGGCGGGUCGGCGCCCGCCGGAGGAUAACCAAACUCUGAUUUAACGACGUUUCUUCUGAGUGGUACAAGCAAAUAAUCAAAACUUUUAACAACGGAUCUCUUGGUUCUGGCAUCGAUGAAGAACGCAGCGAAAUGCGAUAAGUAAUGUGAAUUGCAGAAUUCAGUGAAUCAUCGAAUCUUUGAACGCACAUUGCGCCCGCCAGCAUUCUGGCGGGCAUGCCUGUUCGAGCGUCAUUUCAACCCUCAAGCUCUGCUUGGUGUUGGGGCCCUACAGCUGAUGUAGGCCCUCAAAGGUAGUGGCGGACCCUCCCGGAGCCUCCUUUGCGUAGUAACUUUACGUCUCGCACUGGGAUCCGGAGGGACUCUUGCCGUAAAACCCCCCAAUUUUCCAAAGGUUGACCUCGGAUCAGGUAGGAAUACCCGCUGAACUUAAGCAUAUCAAAAG
rnacentral:rRNA from 1 species